rnacentral:rRNA from 1 species
CCUACGGGAGGCAGCAGUGAGGAAUAUUGGUCAAUGGACGCAAGUCUGAACCAGCCAAGUAGCGUGCAGGAUGACGGCCCUCCGGGUUGUAAACUGCUUUUAGUUGGGAAUAAAAGGGGGCUCGUGAGCCCCGUAUUGUAUGUACCAUCAGCAAAAGGACCGGCUAAUUCCGUGCCAGCAGCCGCGGUAAUACGGCAGGGCCGGGCGUUAUCCGGAUUUAUUGGGUUUAAAGGGAGCGUAGGCCGGCUUUUAAGUCAGCUGUGAAAGUCCGCGGCCCAACCGUGGAAUUGCAGUUUAAACUGGAGGCCUUGAGGGCACACAGGGAUGCCGGAAUUCAUGGUGUAGCGGUGAAAUGCUUGGGUAUCAUGGAGAACUCCGAUCGCGAAGGCAAGUGUCCGGGGUGCAACUGACGCUGAGGCUCGAAAGUGCGGGUAUCAAACAAGAUUCGCUCCCCCGUGUAGUC